UUUUUUUUUUUUAAUAAUUGAUUUAGUCACUACUUUUAAUCUACAAUAAAUAGAAGUUGUGCCCAAGGAGCAACUUUCCAUUUUUAUAACAAGUAACUUCUGUCUACUGUUUUUCAAGAUCAUUUCUGAUCAAAUUUUAAAAAUGUGAACAUUGUAACUUCUAUUGGCCAUGUACUUAAACCUGUCCUGGGUUUUAUUUGAAGACUCUUUUUUGUUUUUUUCUCUCCCUCUAUUAAUUUGGUUAAAGACUAUCCUUAACUUCUGAUUUGUUCUUGCAGAAUAUGCUGAUUUUGUAGCUUAUUUUUCAUGACAACUAAGUCAUUGGAUGACUUGGAAAAGUAUGUAUAUUGGAGAAAUUUCAACAUCUUCUCAUCCACAGUGUUUUUUGUUUGCUUGCUUGGUUUUUGGUUUUUCUUAGUAAAGAAAGAAAGAAGGGAGACUUCUUUAAGAAGAAAGACUUCUUCUUUCUAAAGAAAGAAAGACUUUGGGAAGUCCCGGGUUUGAAUUCUAGGUCUGCCAUUUAGUAGUUGUGUGGCUGUGGACUACUUAUUUCACUUUUCUAAGUCUUAAUUCCUUGUUUGUAAUAGUAAAAGAAAAAAAAACACUGCCUAUUUUUAAUUAUUGUGAGGAUUAAAUGAGAAAAUGACAUUAAAGACUUAGCUCAGUGGCCAGUCCACAGAUAAUGCUUAAUAAAUAGCACCUAUGAUUAUUAACCAGUUGGAUAUUGUGGACUUUACUCACUCAUUUAUUCAUCCAUUAAUCCAUUAUUAUAGUGUACCUGUUAUAACAAAGCCAUUUCCCUAGGUAUUCAGAGAAAGAAUUUUUCUUUCUCAAUCAAGACAUUCUUCCUGGUAUUACUAAAUGAACAUACAUUUGUGUGUGUAUAUAUGUAAUGUCUUUUACUACGUCCACAUAUUUAUGCAAACAAUGGUGAUAUAAGUACUGGCAGUAAACAUGCUUUUUUAAAAAUUUAAGUAUAAUUAACAUACAAUGUUAUAUUAGUAUUAGUUUCAGGUAUAUUCAUGCAACAAGUCUCUAUACUCAAUACUCAAUACUCUGAGGAACUCAGAGGUGCUACAUAUAUAGCAUUUCUUAUAAGACAUUUCUAUGAGCCUGUAGAGAUAAAUAUAACAAAGAAGGACUGCAUAUAAUUAGGAUAUCAAGACACAAAAUUGCAGAUUAGUGGCUCUCAGCCUGCUCUUAGCCAGGACACAUCCGAGGGAUUGUGAUUCACACUCUCCAGUUAAUCAUGGUUGUGCCAACAUCUGCUCUGUCCCCUAUUACUCUUGCUCAACAGGAUUGAAUGAGUAAGUGCAGUGCAGAGAUACGCAUAGUUCUGAACUAAAUCUUUGGAGCUAACCGGUACAAAUUAUUUUGCUUAGGUUGAGAAACAGUGAGAAAAGGACCAUAAACUGAAAUGGCUGCAGUAAGUGGAAUGAGCUGAAUGUGAGAACCCACAGAAAGCUGUUGGGAAAACCAUGGUGCAUAGGAUUACAUGCCUUCUAAACAGGACUGUGCUCAUGUGGCUCUAUGAAUCACAGGACUGAUACAGACAGCAACUCUGGUGUCUCAAAAAACUCAGACAUCUGGAAUCCUAGGUGAAGUUUUUGGACCUGAAUGUUGUUUGUUGUUUCAAACAAUUUUAAAACACUGUGAGACAAAUAAAAUAUGUCAGUUUGUGGCCAAAUUUACAGACAAAAUUCUAUUGAUUUUAUACCCUCAGUAAAAAAAAAAAAAAAAAAAAAAAAAAUAUGCAAUUCAGAAUGUAAUUUAUAAAUUAUUUACAUGUACUCAAAAAUCUACAAAUUCAAUGUGAAUAAUGCCUCCUUUCUUUUAGGAAAAAAGUAAAUCUAAAUAAAUGUUCUCACAUUUCCCUUUUGCACCAAGGUACUUGUAUACCUUGGUAAGUGGUCCUGAGGAGACCACUGCCUGAACCCUGGCUGCUGGAGGAGUUUGAAGGUUGUGAGACAUAGGGAAGUGAAAAGUAAGUCUCUCUUGCUCUCUCACGCCUGACACCCAAGUUCCCAAUUUCCUUCCCCAAAGCAGCUACUAUAAAUAGUUGGGGUUUUUUUUUGUGUGUGUAUUUUUCUUCAUUUAUUAAUUUAUUCAAAAGAGAUGUAUUAAUAGCUGUCAUGUACUAGAUCCUUCUUUAGGAGCUUGGGGAUAAGCGCAAUAAAUAAAACAGACAAAUAUAGCUUCUGUCAUGGGAUUGUAGUGUAGCGUUCCUCAUGAGACACUUAUUACAUUCUGUUGGGGGAGACAGCUAAUAAACAACUAAAUAUUAAGUAUAUAAUUAAAUGUCAAGUGGUGCUAAGUGCUAUGAAGAAAAAUAGAGGAGGGUGGGGUGAUAGCUAAUGAUAGGUAGGUGGUGUGUAGGGAGGGAGGGUCCAGAGACAGGAACUAAGAAAGUUUCCUCUGGAGAGAUGAGAUUUGAGCACAGAUCUGAGUGAGUAGCCAGCCUCAUAGUAUCUGGGAAAAGCACUCUAGGCAAAGUGGAAAUGAGUUGCAAAGACCCUGAGGUGAGAAUGAACUAGAACAAGAAAAGCAUGAGGUCAGAACCAGAUCACAUGAUGCUAGGAGCUCCGGUGAGGAGUCCAGUUUUAUUUGGUGGAUUGAAAAAAUGCUUUAAGGAUUUUGAAUAGGGGGAGAGUAUGAUUUAAUUUCUCUUUUAAUUGGAUUCCUUGGGCUGCUGUGUGGAGACUAGACCAAAGGAUGGAAGCAGGGAGGCCAGUCAAACAAUGAGAGGCUGCUAACCUAGUGUAGGUAUUGGAUGAUG
rnacentral:lncRNA from 1 species